rnacentral:misc_RNA from 1 species
AAUCACAUUUCUAAAAGAGAAAAAUGUUUAGCUUGUAAAGAGUGGGGGAGGAGUGAUCAAUAUGUUUGACUCCUGUUCCCCUUUCCUGGUGGGCGGCCUGCCUGAGAGGGAGCAAAUCAUUGGAGCAUUGGAGCGGGGCACUGUUGUUACGAGGUUUUGUGGAAAGCAGAAACCGGAGAAGAAAGCCAUGCUUGUAAGACGAGAAACGAUGUCGAUUGUGUGGCAGAGAGCACUGGCCGGCAAGAAUUCAUUUGACGGAGCUGUAGACAUCAGGGAGAUAAAGGAGGUUAGGAAGGGUAAGCAGAGCAAGGAGUUUGACAAGUACAGCGAGGAGUUCAGAAAUAUGGAAGGAAAAUGCUUCGUUGUCUACCACGGGAAGGAGUUUAAUCUCAAAUCCUUGUCCAUAGUCGCCUUAUCAGAGGCAGAGUGUGAUACUUGGUACAAGGGACUCAUGUACCUUAUAGAGGAUGUGAACUCGGCAAGCUAUGGAUUAAGUUUACAACGAUGGUUUCGUAAAUGUUUCUAUGAGAUGGAAACCCCUGGGAAGGAAGGCGUCAUCUCCUUUCAGGAGUUGAAGAAGUUUAUGCAGAAAGUGAAUUACAAAGUGUCCGCGAGCUCGCUCAAGGAUAAGUUUAUGGUCUACGACACCAAGAAGUCCGGGGAGAUUUUCUUUGACGAUUUUUGUUCCAUGUUCCAAGAUUUAGUCUUCUCUCAACAAAUGUUCACAGCAAACUUUGCAAGGUACUCCAAGGACAACAGGACUGUUACACUUCAGGAGUUCUCAGCAUUCCUCCGGGAGGAGCAGAAUCAACCGGAGAAAAACGAAACUGUGGCUUGCAUCAUGCGGGAGUUCCUUCAGGACCCGAGCAGGAAUACUCAGCAGCCGUUCUUUUACAUCAGGGAGUUCCUGGACUGGAUUUUCUCCGGGAGUAACACGUUACUAGAUCCUAGUGUUAGGGUUGUGUAUCAGGAUAUGACCCGGCCACUGUCUCACUACUGGAUAGCUAGUUCUCAUAACACAUAUUUAACAGGUGAUCAGGUAGCAAGUGAUUCUAGCGUUGACGCAUAUGCCCGUUGCCUGCGUCAGGGUUGCCGGUCAGUUGAGUUGGACUGCUGGGACGGUCAGGACGGAUACCCCUUCAUCUAUCACGGGCACACCAUGACCUCUAAAAUCAAGUUUAGAGAUGUUAUCAAAUCUAUCAAAGAGCAUGCUUUCGUCAAUUCUGAGUAUCCUGUAAUCCUCUCAAUAGAGGAUCAUUGCUCUCUACCUCAACAGAGGAAAAUGGCAGAGUCCUUUCAGGAAGUAUUCGGAGAGAUGCUGUUGGUAGCUCCUGUAGAUAAGAAUGAGAAGGAACUGCCGAGUCCUGAGAGCCUCAAGAGGAAAAUAAUCCUGAAGCAUAAAAAGCUGCCGGAUGGAACAGAUGAAAAUGCUGGAGUUCUUCUUGAUCUUGAUUCCUCCAAGACGAUGGAUCUGUCGGACACUGUGAAGAACGGUAUGUUGUAUAUGCAGGAGAAUAUCGACGAUCUUUGGAAACCACACUUCUUCGUUCUUACAUCCAGGCAGAUGGUUUACAGCGAGCUUCCAGGAGAACAGGAGGAUGAGGAUAAUGAUUUCUCAGAGACCGAGAGUAUUCGGAAAAUCUCAUCCACCUCCAGUAUUAAAUCAGAUAUAGAUAUGUCGGAACUACAUUUCUCCGAGUCCUGGUUCCAUCGGAACCUUCAGCACGGUCGGAACUCUGCGGAGCAGAUACUCAAGGGUGCAGCUAGCCUUGGAGAUGGAACGUUUCUUGUCAGACCGAGUGAGACAUUUGUUGGAGAUUACAGUUUAUCCUUCUGGCGGAAGAACGAGGUGCAUCAUGUUCCUAUUCGGGUUCGCCAACUAGAUACUGGGGUUAAACGAUACUAUAUGAUAGAUAAGGUAUAUUUUGACAGCUUAUUUGAUCUGAUAACUCACUACCAGACACACCCACUCAGAUCCAGUAAGUUUAGUAUAACCCUGGGGAAACCGGCUCCACCCACCAACCCUCACGAGGACCGCCCCUGGUUCCACGGCCAGCUAAGCCGGAGUCUAGCAGAGGAUGUAUUGUCUAGUAUUCCGGUAGAUGGAGCCUUCUUGGUUCGACAAGGAGAACGGGUUUCAGGAUCUUUUGCAAUCUCAUUUCGAGCUGACAACAACGUGAAGCACUGUCUCGUCAAACAGGAAGGACGCUUGUACGUUAUCGGAGCAGCGCAGUACGAAAGCCUGGUGGAUCUCAUAGCUCACUACGAGAAGAACCCGCUGUACAACAAGGUCAAGCUGAAGAUGCCCGUCACGGAAGAGUUGAUCCAGAGAAAUGGAGGUGUUGGGUCGAAUGGAGAUGUAUACUGCAGUGUAGAGUACAUGGAUCCGAACCCAUUCAAUAACAAGGUUUGUGCCAAAGCUUUAUAUGAUUACACAGCGCGACGAGAUGAUGAGUUAACGUUUAAACGUGGAACUCUGAUCACUAAUGUAGUUCAACGGGACGGAGGCUGGUGGAAGGGGGAUUCUGGAGGCAAAAAGCAACUCUGGUUUCCCGCUAAUUUUACUCAGUUAGAAGAGGGGAACGGACAAGACGAAACUGAUAACACACCUUUAGGAAGUCUGCAGAAAGGAAGCAUUGAUAUAUUAGGAGCUAAGGUUGAUCUUAUUGAACGACAAGGACAGUAUGGAAUAAAGAUCGAGAACAGUUCAACUGCAGUUGAGCUCCACUCCAGUACAAAAGAAGAAGCUCAGGAUUGGGUUGUAAAAAUCCGCGAAACUGCAAACAACGCCUCCAUUAGGGAUAACGAAUCAAGAAGAAAGGAACGAGCGAUGAAAAUAGCCCGUGAACUCUCUGAUCUUGUCAUUUAUUGUAGAUCUGUAAUGUUUAACACAGAGAAGAGUAUGAGAAGAGAACCCGGCCUCUAUUGUGAAAUGUCCAGCUUUCCGGAGGCCAAGGCUGAGAGGCUGAUGCUAGGAGUGAAUGGAGAUCCUAAAAUGUUUUUGUGGUACCACCGAACCCAGAUAUCUAGGGUAUAUCCUAAAGCUCAGCGUGUGACCAGUGAUAACUACAACCCUGUACCAAUGUGGGGUUGUGGGAGUCAAAUGGUUUCGCUAAAUUACCAAACCGGAGACAAACCGAUGCAAAUCCAUCAAGGGAAGUUCCUGGAUAAUGGAAACUGUGGUUACCUACUCCGACCUGACUAUAUGUUCUCCGAUACCUAUCAUUCUAAUGAUGCAUCAACCCUUGCUCUAAACAAUGUGAAACCUCUGGAUUUGACAGUUUUGAUUAUAGGUGCUCGGCAUCUUAUGGGCUCCAAAAGCAAACGCGGACUUGUUUCUCCUUUCGUAGAGAUAGAAAUCGUCGGCUCCGACUACGACUGCCAGAAAAUGAAAACCCGGGUUGUGAAUGAUAACGGGUUAAACCCUGUUUGGGAUGAAAGUUUCAGUAUACGGAUACUGAACCCGCCGAUGGCAUUGUUCCGACUAGCGGUUUAUGACGAAGAUAUGUUCGGAGAACCUAAUUUCCUAGGUGCUGCUACGUACCCCUGUACCUGUAUAUUGACAGGGUACAGAGCUGUUCCUCUCAAUAAUGGACAUAGUGAAGAACUAGAAUUAUCCAGUUUACUUGUUAAGAUUGAGAAGAAGAAAGAAGUUGAUGUAGAUAUUCUUGGUUCCACAGACAACGGUACCGGUAGCUAGCCCAGGUUGACCGGCUCUGCAUCGGGCUACGAGAGUAGGCGGAGCACAAGAUCCAUUCCUAGCAUACCCAGUCUCAGUGUGUGUAGAUUAUACAGGGAGAAGGUUUAGAUCCACUCCUAGCAUACCCAGUCUCAGUGUGUGUAGAUUAUACAGGGAGAAGGUUUAAAUCCAUUCCUAGCAUACCCAGUCUCAGUGUGUGUAGAUUAUACAGGGAGAAGGUUUAGAUCCACUCCUAGCAUACCCAGUCUCAGUGUGUGUGUUUGUAGACUAUACAGGGAAGAAGGCCUACAUCAAUUCCUAGCAUACCCAGUGUCAGUGUGUGUAGAUUACACUUGGAGAAGGUUUAGAUCCACUACUAUCAUACCCAGAUACAUACAAAGGCAGAGAAAAGCGAAGUAUUACUAAAACCCACAUUUUCAAUGAAAUUUUAUGUUACUACCAUCUGUCAUAAAGUUUCAGCCUAAAGUUAAAUGCUCGAAAAUUUAUAACAAUUAAACAUGUUAAUUACUCAGUCUACUAAACUGUGAUAUAGUAUCAUGAGUGAAACUAUUGUUAAACCUAAUACUCGUUAACUAUUCACAAAAUUAAUUAGAAAUGAUGCACAAUCAAUUUAAGAUAAUUUAAAUUAAAUUUUUCAGUUGA